rnacentral:tRNA from 1 species
GGCUCUGUGGCUUAGUUGGCUAAAGCGCCUAUCUCGUAAACAGAACGAUCCUGGGUUCGAAUCCCAGCGGGGCCU